UCUAUUUGGACAUAAAAAAUUUGAAUUUUCUGACAUUUAUACGUGUAUUCAGCGUCUGUGUGAACAAAAAAUGUUCUCUCUCUCAUUCUAUGGUUCUUGAGCUUUAAUAACAGGGACAUUUUUUAAAUUGGUAGCAUUAGAAAAUGACAGUAAACAGCUGACUGAUGUAAACAAUAACACAAUAACAAAGGAAAUGUUAUAAUUUUAAUCUAUAUAACCAGUGGCUGCUUUAAAAGUGUGUACUAACGGGAUAAUAACAUAUUUACGCAAGUAUUUUUGAAGGCAGAAACAUUACUUGUCAUAUAACAACUACUCAGAUUAUAUGAUGAGACGGGAAUGGCACAAUACAGAAUUGCAGUCAGUGAUUGUGAUGGAGAAAGCUGCUGUGAAGUACUGACAGUACUGACUAUCGCUGGUUGUACGAUUUGUGCAAUUUGUGAUAUAUUUUGUGUGAAAAACUGGAAAAGAAAGUGCAUCACUGCAUAACCUCACUUAUCGCAGUUUUGCACUUUUUGAUGAUGGGAAUUGCGGUUCAAGUAAUUAUGAGUUAUAGAUGGAGAGCCCUGUUUACUUCAAACUGAAGCCUUUUGGGUCCACUUUGUUCGUUAUUUCCUGGCAGCCACUCUUGUUUCAAGCAGAGUGGGUGUAAAGUUAAAAAUAAUCCCGUAAAAUUGUUAAUAUAACUCCUUUGCACUGGCAUGGGGUAUUUGAAAACUUACGUUUAACAAAUACGUCACAAAGUCUCAGCCAUCGUUGAAAAACAUAAUAAGGGCUUUAUAACAAGAAGCGCUUUCUGAUUUUACUGUGGACGUGUGGAAGAAUAGUGUGAAAUAUUGCGAAAAACCAACUUUUACUCUUGUUUACAUUUUUGUACGUCUCUAUCUGAGAGUAGUCUCUUGUAUAAAAAAUAUAGCCUACUAAUAAAGGAAAUUAAAGUGU